rnacentral:rRNA from 1 species
CCUACGGGAGGCAGCAGUAGGGAAUAUUGCUCAAUGGGGGAAACCCUGAAGCAGCAACGCCGCGUGGAGGAUGAAGGUUUUCGGAUCGUAAACCCCUUUUGUUAGAGAAGAUAAUGACGGUAUCUAACGAAUAAGCACCGGCUAACUCCGUGCCAGCAGCCGCGGUAAUACGGAGGGUGCAAGCGUUACUCGGAAUCACUGGGCGUAAAGGGCGCGUAGGCGGGAUAGCAAGUCAGAUGUGAAAUCCUAGGGCUUAACCAUAGAACUGCAUUUGAAACUGUUAUUCUAGAGUAUGGGAGAGGUAGGUGGAAUUCUUGGUGUAGGGGUGAAAUGCGUAGAUAUCAAGAGGAAUACUGAUUGCGAAGGCGACCUGCUGGAACGUAACUGACGCUGAUGCGCGAAAGCGUGGGGAGCAAACAGGAUUAGAUACCCUUGUAGUC